rnacentral:rRNA from 1 species
CCUACGGGCGGCAGCAGUGGGGAAUUUUGGGCCAUGGGCGCAAGCCUGACCCCGCAACGCCGCGUGACGGAAGAAGGCUUUCGGGUUGUAAACUUCUUUUCUCAGGGCCGAAGAAAGUGACGGUACCUGAGGAAUAAGCCACGGCUAACUACGUGCCAGCAGCCGCGGUAAUACGUAGGUGGCAAGCGUUAUCCGGAUUUACGGGGUGUAAAGGGCGUGUAGGCGGGGAAGCAAGUCAGAUGUGAAAACCACGGGUGCAACCUGUGGCCUUCAUGUGAAACUGUUUUUGUUGAGUACUGGUGAGGCAGACGGAAUUCCGAUUGUAGCGGUGAAAUGC